ensembl:lncRNA
GUAACAGAUAAAUGGAAAAAUGCUUAACAUCUCUAACCUAUGGGAAAAUGCAAACCAAACUACAAUGAGAUAUUACCUCACCCCCUUUAAAAUGGUUAGUAUAAAAAAGAUGAGACAUAUGUUAUCAAGGAUGUGGAGAAAGGGAACCCUGUCGAAUGUGCAGGCUGGGAAUGUAAAUUAUAGCCAUUUUGGAAGACAGUAUGGAGGUUCCCCAAACAAAACUAGAAUUAUCACACGAUCUAACAAUUCGUUUGUGUAUACAGGAAUAGGAUUUAGUAUCAGUGUGUUGCUGGUCUCUCUGUAUCACAUGCUAAUUUCGGCAUUAUUUACAAUAGCUAAUGGUAUGGAAGCAACCUAAAUGUCCACCAAGAUAAAUGAAUAACGAAAAUGUGGAACGUAUACAUAAUGGAAUACUACAUGACCUUUAAAAAGGGAAAUUCUGGGGAUGGAGAUGUAGCUCAAUAGUAGUGCUUGCCUAGUACAUACAAAGCCUUGGAUUGGAUCCCCAGCACUGAAAGGGGGGAGGGCAUUCUGUGGAGAACCAUAUGUUACAUGAAAGAUAAAUACCACGUGAUCUCACUUAACAGUUGUAAAGUAUAAAAAUGUUGAACUCAUACAAGCAGGGAAUAGAAUGGUGGCCACCAGAAGCUAGAGGUGAGGGAGGAAUGGAGAAAGUGGAGGUAUUGGUUGAAUGGUACAAAGUUUCAUUUAGAGUGGAGCAGUAAGCUUUAGUGAUCAAUUGCACAGCCUGGUAACCUCAGUUGAUAACACUGUAUUGUUUAUUUCAGAACUGCUAAGAACAAACGUUCUCACCACAAACACCCAAGUGUGUGAGGUGAUGACUAGGUGGAUUAGCUUCAUUUAAUCUGUCUACAAUUACGCAUGUAUCAAAACAGCACACUGUACACUAUAAACAUAUACAAUUAUUUUUCAACAGAAAAUUUAAAAAAUUUGAGGAAUGGAAAAACACAUGGUAAAGAAUAUUGCAAAGGAACUAUAAAAACUUUCACAGGCGUUCAACUUUUGGGUAACUGAGCUACAUAAGCGCAAUAACCCCUGGUGUUUACACUGGUGGACUCCAUGCCCUCUCGGCCUCCACCGCCUGCUCUCCAGGUUACCGGUGACCUCUACCAGGUGACCCCUACCAGCCUCCGACCAGCUGAUCACUUUACUGGGAAAUGCCUGCUUCCCCUGGCUUGUGGCCCCUCACCCUUUCCUGGUCGUCCUCCUGCCCUCCGGAUCUCCCAUCCUCCUAGGGCUCCUCAGCCUGGCCCCACGCUUGGCACUGUCCCCACCCAGCAAAUCCUGACCGCUCCGCUCCACCUUCACACAGUGUUCCGAAUCCGGACCCCAUCCCGUCCUCCGCCACUCCUGGCCUGAACACAGCGGCCCGGGCCCCUGCUCCGAUCCCGGCCGCUGCACCCGCGCCGGGCUGAGGCCUCCUCCGGGCGCCUGGGCCGCCCCGCGCCUCCCCCGAGUCCGCCCAGGAAGCUGCUCGCUGCCCCUAGCCAUCUCUCGCGACCUGUCCCCUCCGCUGUCCCCGAGACCUCCCUCUGGCAGACCCCUCAGCCCAGAACACCUCGUCGCCACCCCCGCGUCUUCUCCCCCGGUCGGCGGCGACCCCACCGUCUCAGGCCUGGGCUUCCGGCGGCCCCGGGUCGCGCGUGCGCACUGCGACCGGCGCGCUCUCGGCCCGGACGCGGCCUGGCGGAGCUGAUGGGGGUCCCGCUCCCGGCUGGGCCGCCUGGGCGGCACCUCAGGCCCGGACUCACCUGCAGGCGGCGGGCGGCGCGGAGGCCUGAUAGGAGACUCGCGUCCCGCCCCAGCUGCAGCGGCCCCUGCCGGAGACGCAGACCCCCACCCGGCUCCAGUCCCAAGGCUCUAGCUCCUCUGCCCUGUCCUGUUCACUGCUGGACGAUUGUUUCUUUUUUCUUUUCUUUUUUUUAAACUCUUUUUUAGAGAACGACGGGUUGCGGGCGGGCGUGUUUGCUUGCUUCCUCUUUCUGACCUCCCAAGGUUCACUCCUGCCCAGAUCACCAGGUAGACAUCGAGUUCCAGGGAUGUGCUUGUUGUGCCAGGAAGGUCUGUUGUGUGUGUAGUGUUCCAUCAUGCUUGCCUAACUCCAUAUCUGAAGGUCUGUUUUAUCCCUCUCCUCUGCUUUUGUAUUUCUGCUUGCCAACUUCCCUCUGAC